rnacentral:rRNA from 1 species
UACGGAGGAUCCAAGCGUUAUCCGGAUUUAUUGGGUUUAAAGGGUGCGUAGGCGGACGUUUAAGUCAGUGGUGAAAGUUUGCAGCUCAACUGUAAAAUUGCCAUUGAAACUGAAUGUCUUGAGUGUAAAUGAGGUAGGCGGAAUGUGUUGUGUAGCGGUGAAAUGCUUAGAUAUGACACAGAACACCGAUUGCGAAGGCAGCUUACUAAGAUACAACUGACGCUGAGGCACGAAAGCGUGGGGAUCGAACAGGAUUAGAUACCCUGGUAGUCCACGCAGUAAACGAUGAUUACUAGCUGUUUGCGAUAUACUGUAAGUGGCUAAGCGAAAGCGAUAAGUAAUCCACCUGGGGAGUACGUUCGCAAGAAUGAA